CCUACGGGCGGCAGCAGUGAGGAAUAUUGGUCAAUGGGCGCGAGCCUGAACCAGCCACGUAGCGUGAAGGAUGACUGCCCUCCGGGUUGUAAACUUCUUUUAUAAAGGAAUACAGUGAGGCACGUGUGCCUUUUUGUAUGUACUUUAUGAAUUAGGAUCGGCUAACUCCGUGCCAGCAGCCGCGGUGAUACGGAGGAUCGGAGCGUUAUCCGGAUUUAUUGGGUUUAAAGGGAGCGGAGGUGGGUUGUUAAGUCAGUUGUGAAAGUUUGCGGCUCAACCGUACAAGUGCAUUGGAUACUGGCAGCCUUGAGUACGGUAGAGGUAGGCGGAAUUCGUGGUGUAGCGGUGAAAUGCUUAGAUAUCACGAAGAACACCGAUUGCGAAGGCAGCCUACUAAACUGCCACUGACAGUGAGGCUCGAAAGUGUGGGUAUCAAACAGGAUUAGAUACCCCUGUAGUC
rnacentral:rRNA from 1 species